UGAGCCGAGUUGGGUUGAGCUGAGUUGGGUUGAGCUGAGUUGGCUUGAGCUGAGUUGGGUUGGGUUGAGCUGGGUUGAAGCUGAGCUGAGCUGGGUUGAAGCUGAGCACGCACAAAGAGGGGCAGCAGCUGCCUCAGCAUUCUCCCUGCACCCUCUGCCCCCCAAGGGGAGCUGCUUUGGGGCAGCACCAGCCCCACGGGCCCUCACCACCCCCCCAACCCCCCUGGGGCAGCCUCCACAGCCCCUGCCCCAUGGCUGAGGGUUCGGGCAGGGUCUCUCUUUCAGAAGAGGCUCUUCGGGGGCACUGGGGAGCCCCAAGGACGCUGGGGUUUUGUUCCCCCCGUCCCUGGGCUUGAUGCAGGGUGAGAGGCUCCAGGGGAUGCUGCAGGCACGGAUCCAGCCUCCGGCCGGGGCUUUGGGUGCAGGGGGAAGAGGGAGACCCCAGGCAGACAGAGACAGACCCCAGAGCCCCCACUCCAUCCCUGGGUACUGGGAGCUCCAUCGGGGGGCUCCGCAGCCUCAUCCCCACUGACCCAGAGCUUGGUCUGAACCUGGAGCUUGUGCCCUCUGCUCCUGGGGCUGGAGCCGCUGCUGCCCUCACUGGGGAUUGCCUUCAGCACCCCCCCCCCCCCCAGCACCCAUGGGUGCUCCCGGCAGGAUUCAGCUCCAUCCCAUCCCUGCAUCCCUGCUCGCGCCGCCGUGGCUGCCUCCCUGCGCCCCGCCGGGGAGGGGACCGCGCGGCGCCGCAACGCACCGGCACCAAUAAAGGUUUCCUUGUGACCCCC